GGCAGUGGGGAGGAUUUUGUGUGGGAGUGUAUGAGUGUAUUUUACAUGUUUAUUGGUUGUUUUCCAAAACCCUGUGGGUGGUACUAAUGUGUAUAUAAGAACAAUAAACCCACAGCUCUGCCAGUUCCUGUUUUGACCCUCAACACGGAGCCUUGUCUCAUUCUUUUGGGGGGGAUUUAUUGGAUGCUGUUAAAGUUCGACUGCUAGGAGUGUAAACCUUUCGUAUGGUUUUUCCUAUUCGGCUGUUUAUGGCAUUCACAUGCUUCUCCGGUUCGGUGGAUUGGUGUCUACAGUAGAUGUGCCUGGGUCUCUGGAUCUACUAAACAACGGCUUUUAACCCCUUUUUAUGCCUGGGGGUGCCAUUACAAUUGGUGGCAAGCGGUGGGAUCAUUUCCACAGCCCAGAAGGGCAGCUACAAGGAAACACCAUUCUCUGGAUUUACAAAUUGAGGGCAACGCAUGUAUGAGUACAGCGACCCUGACAGCAGCAGGAUGGAACCAGCAGUUUUAUAUGUUGAGGGUGUCAUGGACGAUCGAGAUGCAGUCCGCAAAGGCAUCUGGUACCAGGAAGCGAGGGACUCCCCAGUGAGGAGCAG